CUUAUCAUCAAUUGUCUCUCAACUUACACAUGCAAGUCUCAGCACCCCCGUGAGGAAGCCCUUAAACCCUACUCCAGGAUAAGGAGCUGGUAUCAGGCUCAACUCUUGCCCACGACACCUAGUUUCCACCACGCCCCCAAGGGUCAUCAGCAGUGAUAAACAUUAAUUAUAAGCGACAGCUUGACUUAGUCAGAGAGAAGAUAGUUGGCUAAUUCGGUGCCAGCCGCCGCGGUUAGACCCUGAACUAAAAUUGACGAUCAUCGGCGUUAAGCGUGAUUAAAGUAUUAUAAGAUUAGAGUAAAACUCCUUGCCCAGCUGUGAAAAGCAUGCAUUCAGGAACCCCAUGAACGAAA
rnacentral:rRNA from 1 species